UACGUAGGGUGCGAGCGUUAAUCGGAAUUACUGGGCGUAAAGCGUGCGCAGGCGGUUUGUUAAGACAGAUGUGAAAUCCCCGGGCUUAACCUGGGAACUGCAUUUGUGACUGGCAAGCUAGAGUAUGGCAGAGGGGGGGUAGAAUUCCACGUGUAGCAGUGAAAUGCGUAGAGAUGUGGAGGAAUACCGAUGGCGAAGGCAGCCCCCUGGGCCAAUACGUGACGCUCAUGCACGAAAGCGUGGGGAGCAAACAGG
rnacentral:rRNA from 1 species